rnacentral:lncRNA from 13 species
AGAGAGAGAGAGAGAGAGAGAGAGAGAGAGAGAGAGAGAGAGAGUAACUCCACCUGGUGGUAAAAUCCAGUGUCAGGUGAAUAUGUGUGUGUUUUACAGAGGCCUGUACAAUAACAGGUCGGAGGAUAUUGUUAUUACGUAUGUGCAUUAUUAGAAGUUUAACGUCACCGUUUAUGAUGUGUGCUGUAUGAGGCCUAUUCGCAUGCGCAAUAAAUCAACAAUAAACUUGAAAGUAAAAAAAAGAAAGAAACGUUUACAUUUUUUCUUCGAAGUCAAAGUGAACUGACUACAUUUGAAUGACUACAAGACCCAAGAUCCGGAAGUAUAUUUACAAAAAAGAACUGACGUCACGCCCCAUGAACUCGCAGUAUAUACACAUUGGACCCUCGAGGAAGAAGAGGAAGAGGAAGAGGAAUAUGAUCAGCCUACACGCCGUAUAGAUCAGUGCUUCGCCACCAGCCCACAGAGGGAACUGCGACUAACUGACAGCGAGGAAGACGAGGAAGAAUGCCGAGGAGAAAACAAUCAAACCCACAGCCCGUCAAAUUAGACGGUGUGGAGUGUGAACCAGGAUGCCUGGUUCUGGACAGUGACUUCCUGCUUAGUGGAGAGCUCUGUGAGUUUGGAGACACAGAGAUUAUGGGGCUGGACAGAGACACAGGUCAGACACACACACACACACUUACACAUAUACACAAACACGGACCAACUUGAUCUCAUAGUUUCACUUCCGAAAUUAUGGAUGAACGUCUAUUUUGUGAUGCAUUAGUUCUGCGUGGUUACAGGUUUAAUUCCACAUGGUAAACGGGUUUACUUUCCGAACGGUAAACGGGUUUAAUUCCGAACGGUAAACAGGGUUAAUUCCGAACGGUAAACGGGUUUACUUUCCGAACGGUAAACGGGUCUACUUCCGAGUGGUAAACAGGGUUUUUUUCCUGAGCGGUAAACAGGGUUAAUUCCGAACGGUAAACGGGUUUACUUCCGAACGGUAAACAGGGUUAAUUCCGAGUGGUAAACAGGGUUAAUUCAGCAUAGUUAAAAUAGAAACAACUCGAAAGGUUGAAGCGUAGGUAUUAAGUCCGAGGGGUUAACCUUCUAGAGUCUAUGUCCACGCCCCCGUGAGAAUUCUAUUAGCAUAAUGAAACAAUCCCCAUUUAAAAUCCAUCAGUUUAAGCUAGAGAUAUUACCUUUUGUUGCAUUGGAUUCCGUCUCAAUCCACGGCAUCCACUGAUGUCUCACUUCCGCACCUGCGGUGGAAGGUGACAGAGCUAGAGCGGUGUUUGUCAGACCAAGAGACAUCCAGAAAAUCAUUAUUCUCACAAAAUUGGUUUUGUAACAUCCGAAUG